GGCCGCAUGUCUCGAUAUUGCGAAACUCAUCAUUCAAUAUAAUUCCGAGACUUAGUUCAUCAGUUGAUGGCGGGCCGCACUGCCUUCGGGUGGAGACUGUUUACAGUCCGGCGGAUUACAAAGAUUGUUUGAACACUCAAACCCUGUCUUCCGGAGUUUAGAUUAUCCAGACUGCGGCUACUUUA
rnacentral:sRNA from 1 species